UGGCUCGGUUUCCUGGGGGGUGGACUCAGCCUGCUCCACCUCCCCUCAGCCCAGCCUACAGUACAUGGGCCAGGCGUCCCUGGGGCAGAGGCAUCUAAGUAGGGAGCCUCCCCUGGGCAGUCCUAGCCUUACAUUU